GGAUGUGACGGCGAUCUGGCUGCGACAUCUGUCACCCCACUGAUUUCCAGGGUUGAUUUGGCUGAUCUGGCUGGCUAGGCAGGUGUCCCCUUCCUCCCUCACCGCUCCAUGUGCGCCCCUCCCGAAGCUGCAGGCUGGGUCGAAGAGGACAACCAUCCCCGAUAGAGGAGGACUGUUCUUUGGUCAAGGGUAUGCGAGUAGCUGCGCUCCCCUACUAGAACCUCCAAACAAGCACUCAAGGAUGCAAACUAAACAGGUGGACAUUAGGGAGAAGGAAACAAAUGAAACUCAAUACCCACUAAGUCCCAAACUUUAAGU
ensembl:misc_RNA 7SK 7SK RNA